rnacentral:lncRNA from 1 species
UCCGAGGCGGCCGCCGCCGGCCGGAGCCAACGGCAUCCUUCCUCAUCCCCCCGCCGUUCCCGAUGCGAUCAUCAGCCACCGCGGGCGGGAAGGAAUGGCCCCGUCAGAGCGCUCGCCUCACGUUCUCUGGCUCCGCCGCCACUACCCGCCACACCGGCGCGGUGAGCUCACGCUUAAACCCAUCUUUCCAGUACUCCGACGCGCAGCAGCAAACAAAUCCGCAACAAAAACUGGAUGGAUCGGAGAGGAAGGAGAGAGAGCGAGUUGGGGAUCAUCACCAACAGAAGAAACCAAUCCAACCAUGGAUGGAUUUUGUUUAAAUUAAUUUAGAUUUGAAUUGAAAUUAGUUCAAAUUUUAGUACAUUUCUCAAUUUAAUCAAACUUCACUGAAAUAUCAAACAAAUUUGUCUCAACUAGUAAACACAAAUAAAUCAAAUAUUACAAGUACAUUAAUUGUUAUAAAGUAUAUAUGUACAAAAUUAGGCCAUAUGUGCAAUAAUCAUUUAUAAGUAGGGUUAAAUAUGCAAGGUAAAAACGUUCAUUCAUGUCUCAUUUAACACCCGUUAAACUCACUUAACAGACUAGGGUCAGUCGGUGCUUUUAUUUUAAAAAAAACAGGGUCAAAUCUGUAAAAUGGAAAAAACGGGGUCAAAUGCGUAGUUAGCUUCUAAAAUAGGGUCAGUUAUGCAAUAGCCCCAAAGAAAAACUUGGCAACUUCAGUUAUACGUGAAAAAUGAAUAUGAAAAUAGGUAUUUACUAAUUUGGUCAUCCCUUUUAUACGUAACUUUAGUUGUAUAAUAUGAAAAUAGAUAUUAACUAAACUGGUCGUCCAUUCUCUACAUAACUCUAGUUGUCUAUUAGAAUGAUCUCAUAUAGUUCCAUAAAUAAGUUUCACUUCUUAUAUCCUAAUUCUAGAUCUACCAGUUUUAUUCAUAAACAAUACAAAUUACAGAUACAAACAUAUAUUAAAAAUUUAGAUUGAACUCCGGCCACAUAUUACAUGAAGUGAUAACCGAAAACAACAGCAAUGCACUAACUAUUGGCAUAUCCCACAAUGUAGCAUUAUUACUGUCCUUGCAGUUCACACAUCAAUAGUACAAAAAACUUUCAUGAAUCAUCCUGUCUAUUUUAGAUGAUUUGGUUUACAACGUUGGAAAUGUAUAUUCCGUAGACUAGAGAAUCAUAAAUAAACCAAAUUGGAAAAUACAUGACAAUAAUAAAAAUCGCAUAUAUAGUGCACAUAUCUUAUUCAAUUUCUUGUCAGGAAAACAAUGAUGGACACAUGCUGAUAUGAGCAAGUUUCUAUGCCACUUAACAUGAUCAAUUUUGUUUGCCGCUCCAUUUAUAGUACUACUAGCAUGUAUGAAACAUAACUGAAGUGAACACAUAAUUUGGUUAUUUUAUUUUUUAACACAUAAUUUGGUUAACAUAUGUUAUUCUCACUGUGGCUCAUGGGGCAGGUAUUCAGGAUAAUUGAACCUAUGCAUGGAGUGCUGUGAACACAUAAUUUGGUUAUCUUAUUUUUUAACAUGAUGUAGUAUUUUCUUCUUUCAUAACUCAUGGAAGAUAUCUACGAUGAUUGAACCCAUGUGCAGAGUGCAGUGAACAAACUUUGAUCAUGAUCUUUAUGAAGCAUAAUUUUUAGCAUUUGUUUUUAAUCUUAAUCUUACCUUUGAUGGACUGAAAUAAGAAUAGAGCUCAUUCAAUCCUAAGAUUGUAUCAAAGGACCAAACUGAACAUUAGGAUCUUCAUACAUCUCUCUGUGAAUUGUAUCAAAAGACCAUACCUACAUGUGAGGUUUUGAGACUCCCUUAAUUUUGCAUGCAUGCAGCCUGGACAAGAC